rnacentral:lncRNA from 1 species
AAUAAGAAUAACCAACAUUGGGGAUCCCUGGGUGGCUCAGUGGCUUAGCACCUGCCUCAGCCCAGGGUGUGGUCCUGGAGUCCCGGAUCGAGUCCCACGUUGGGCUCCCUGCAUGGAGCCUGCUUCUCCCUCUGCCUAUGUCUCUGCCUCUCUCUCUCUCUCUCUCUCCCUCUUUCUGUGUGUGUUUGUGUCUCUCUUGAAUAAAUAAAUAAAAUUUAAUUUAAAAAAGGAAUAACCAACAUCUUUACAGUGCUUUACAGCAGUGGAGCUCAGAGAAGCCAAGCUCUGCCCAGCGUCACACAGCUAGAGCACAGGACCCCAUGCUCCAUGGCCCUUCUCUGCCCUGGGCAGUGACAGAGUGGCUGGCGUGAAGCAGAUGGUCGAUGAUGAGGGUAACCUCGUCUCUCAGGAAUUUGUCCUUGGAUGGAAGACAGAAGAAUUUCCAAACUCCAGGAUGGUCAGCAGGACUCAUGACUCAUGUGAGUGACCACAGAGCUACUGCCACAGACAUCCACGAGGACCAGAGGGCAGGGGGCUGCUGUGGACAGCCCAGGAUACCUCCCAUGAACAGAAUGACAAUUCAAAUCCCUAAUCUCUUGUCCUGAGAUAAGGACUGAAAUUCAAGGACUCUAUGGCAGUGUGGGAAGAAACCUUUUUUUUUUUUUUUUUUUUUUUUGGUAGCCUGGAGGCUGAGAGUGAUUUCAGGGGGCGGGGUGGGGGAGAACCUCACAGUACAUUCUGCAAUUUGCUGAAUUAGAACAUCUGUUGAGGGGUGCCUGGGUGGCUCAGUCGGUUAUGCAUCUGCCUUCAGCUCAGGUCAUGAUUUCAGGGUGCUGGGACUGAGUCCCAUGUGGGGCUCCCUGCUGAGCGGGGAGCCUGCUUCUCCCUCUCCCUCUUCCUGCCGCUCCCCCUGCUAGGGCUCGCUCGCACUCUCUGUCUCUCUCUUUCUGCCAAAUAAGUAAAUAAAAUCCUUAAAAAGAAAUUGAACAUCUGUUGAAUUCACAACUUCACAGGUCUGUUGCUCGUUCAACAAGCACCAACAGGCGCUUACUAUGAGCCACGCAUUGCUCACAAGAGGCUGCUCAUUUGACCGUAGGAAACGAGGUAUCAGGAGGGUUCCAAAAGCCAAAGGGCUGGUCCUGACCCUGAAAAGCCAAACUUUGUGAAACCAGUGCCCACGGGCUUCUCCUGCCAACGCUGUGGCGAGCUGCCCCUGCUCCGAGGAAGCUCUGUUACAGGAAACUGUAAUCCCCCUGCUCCACCUACACAGUCACCUCUGCCUGGGAUCAAUCAGCUCCCCACCUGAGCCAGGGUGGGUGGAGAGAAAAGCAGGAAUUCAGUUCUAUUUGUCAACAUCGGGAUGAUUUGUAUGGGGAUGGGUUUUGGGGAGCGCUUAACAAAAGAGGGUGCAAAGUUACUUAAGACCCAGUGGAAUGUGUCCCUAGGCCUGUGUCUAUAGGAAGUGGACACCCCCCGCCCCCCACAUCUGCACUCGAGGCUGCCUGUGGUCCUGAGGCUGGGGCGCCUCCUAACACCACCCUGACACUCACCCAGGCCAGGGGCCCAGAUGACAGACGGCCCUCAGCUUGAUGUAGGUGGAAGGGCCCAGAAGACCCCAUAAAAAAGGAAUCUAGAGCCCCACCCUCCAUCUGCUCUCCCAGCCUGCUCUCCAGGCGCCAGUAACUCAGCGGUUCCCUGACAGGCUUUUAAACAGUGUCUUUCUGUUUCUUUCUUUCUCCAUAAGUCAGAUGGGGUUGAUUAGGACUAUCUCAACCCCAGAACCUCAACAGGCUCUUCCACUUGUCUUCCAAGAAACUGUGUAAGUAAAGAUACUUAAGGCUGCGUGAACAAAACCGAAGCUGAACUAGAUAAAGGGAAAAGGAAUUUAGUGGCUUUU